rnacentral:rRNA from 1 species
UACGUAGGGGGCUAGCGUUGUCCGGAUUUAUUGGGCGUAAAGAGCUCGUAGGCGGCUUGUCGCGUCGACUGUGAAAAUCCGGGGCUCAACCCCGGACUUGCAGUGGGUACGGGCAGACUAGAGUGUGGUAGGGGAGACUGGAAUUCCUGGUGUAGCGGUGAAAUGCGCAGAUAUCAGGAAGAACACCCGUGGCUAAGGCGGCUCUCUAGUACGGUACUGACGCUGAGACGCGAAAGCGUGGGGAGCGAACAGG